CCUACGGGAGGCAGCAGUGGGGAAUUUUGGACAAUGGGCGAAAGCCUGAUCCAGCAAUGCCGCGUGAGUGAAGAAGGCCUUCGGGUUGUAAAGCUCUUUUGUCAGGGAAGAAACGGUGAGAGCUAAUAUCUUUUGCUAAUGACGGUACCUGAAGAAUAAGCACCGGCUAACUACGUGCCAGCAGCCGCGGUAAUACGUAGGGUGCAAGCGUUAAUCGGAAUUACUGGGCGUAAAGCGUGCGCAGGCGGUUUUGUAAGUCUGAUGUGAAAUCCCCGGGCUCAACCUGGGAAUUGCAUUGGAGACUGCAAGGCUAGAAUCUGGCAGAGGGGGGUAGAAUUCCACGUGUAGCAGUGAAAUGCGUAGAUAUGUGGAGGAACACCGAUGGCGAAGGCAGCCCCCUGGGUCAAGAUUGACGCUCAUGCACGAAAGCGUGGGGAGCAAACAGGAUUAGAUACCCUGGUAGUCCACGCCCUAAACGAUGUCUACUAGUUGUCGGGUCUUAAUUGACUUGGUAACGCAGCUAACGCGUGAAGUAGACCGCCUGGGGAGUACGGUUGCGAAAGNUUAAAACUCAAAUUGAAUUGACGGCUUGAGAGNGCGAGACGACGACGAGGGAGGAGG
rnacentral:rRNA from 1 species